rnacentral:snoRNA from 1 species
GUAAGCCAGUGAUGUAAUGUUAUCCCUGUCUGACAGCUCAGCCAUGAGGGGGAAAAACAAAUAUUCUGAGGCUUUU